GGUCGAAAGGGGAAAUUCAUUCGCGUUUCGAUUGUCGGCGAUAAACGAGCGAGUGACGGACGACGCGUUCGCGCGUGCGUUUUCUGCUUCUUUCGUUUAGGUAACGACGCCGAACGCCUGCACUUUUCCCCUAGUAGGACGUCGCGAUCCGUUGGGUGUCGGUCUAAGGCUCGCGGUGGAGCCCGCGCGGUUUAUAGCGCGCGGACCCGCGAUAUCCCGACCGACUCGCUCGACGGUAUAAAGAUGGCGCGAGGCCGCUACUUCGUAGAAUUAGCGUUCGGCCCGUAGCAAGCGCGUUCGUCGUUAGACGGCGAUCGGACCUAGCGCCGGUCCUGUCCGCGAACGACUGUUGGCUGCGGUGAUCUCGAACAGACCUCG
rnacentral:rRNA from 1 species